rnacentral:rRNA from 1 species
CAGUAGCCGCGGGAAUACGAACCGUGCGAACGUUAUUCGGAAUCACUGGCUUAAAGCGCGUGUAGGCGGGACGGCACGUCGACUGCUGAAAUCCCUCGGCUUAACCGAGGAAGUGGCAUCGAUACGACCGUCCUGGAGGAACGUAGGGGGACCUGGAACUUCCGGUGGAGCGGUGAAAUGCGUUGAGAUCGGAAGGAACGCCCGUGGCGAAAGCGAGGUCCUGGACGUUUUCUGACGCUGAGACGCGAAAGCUAGGGGAGCGAACGGGAUUAGAUACCCCUGUAGUCCCUGUCUCUUAUAC